rnacentral:rRNA from 1 species
AGUGAACGCUGGCGGUAGGCCUAACACAUGCAAGUCGAACGGCAGCACAGUAAGAGCUUGCUCUUACGGGUGGCGAGUGGCGGACGGGUGAGGAAUACAUCGGAAUCUACUUUUUCGUGGGGGAUAACGUAGGGAAACUUACGCUAAUACCGCAUACGACCUACGGGUGAAAGCAGGGGAUCUUCGGACCUUGCGCGAUUGAAUGAGCCGAUGUCGGAUUAGCUAGUUGGCGGGGUAAAGGCCCACCAAGGCGACGAUCCGUAGCUGGUCUGAGAGGAUGAUCGGCCACACUGGAACUGAGACACGGUCCAGACUCCUACGGGAGGCAGCAGUAGGGAAUAUUGGACAAUGGGCGCAAGCCUGAUCCAGCCAUACCGCGUGGGUGAAGAAGGCCUUCGGGUUGUAAAGCCCUUUUGUUGGGAAAGAAAAGCAGCAGGUUAAUACCCCGCUGUUCUGACGGUACCCAAAGAAUAAGCACCGGCUAACUUCGUG